rnacentral:rRNA from 1 species
AAUAGAUACCCCGGUAGUCCAUGCCCGUAAACGUUGGGCGCUAGAUGUGGGGACCAUUCCGACGGUUUCCGUGUCGCAGCUAACGCAUUAAGCGCCCCGCCUGGGGAGUACGGCCGCAAGGCUAAAACUCAAAGGAAUUGACGGGGGCCCGCACAAGCGGCGGAGCAUGCGGAUUAAUUCGAUGCAACGCGAAGAACCUUACCAAGGCUUGACAUAUACGAGAACGCUCUAGAAAUAGAGAACUCUUUGGACACUCGUAUACAGGUGGUGCAUGGUUGUCGUCAGCUCGUGUCGUGAGAUGUUGGGUUAAGUCCCGCAACGAGCGCAACCCUCGUUCUAUGUUGCCAGCGGUUCGGCCGGGAACUCAUAGGAGACUGCCGGGGUCAACUCGGAGGAAGGUGGGGAUGACGUCAAAUCAUCAUGCCCCUUAUGUCUUGGGCUUCACGCAUGCUACAAUGGCCAGUACAAAGGGCUGCAAUACCGUAAGGUGGAGCGAAUCCCAAAAAGCCGGUCUCAGUUCGGAUUGAGGU